rnacentral:rRNA from 1 species
UACGAAGGGGGCUAGCGUUGUUCGGAAUUACUGGGCGUAAAGCGCGCGCAGGCGGUUCUUUAAGUCAGGGGUGAAAGCCCAGAGCUCAACUCUGGAAUUGCCUUUGAAACUAGAGAACUUGGGUACGGGAGAGGUGAGUGGAAUUCCGAGUGUAGAGGUGAAAUUCGUAGAUAUUCGGAAGAACACCAGUGGCGAAGGCGGCUCACUGGCCCGUUACUGACGCUGAGGCGCGAAAGCGUGGGGAGCAAACAGG